GUCAGAGCAUCUCCAGCUCCACAAAGACCCACUCCUUCAAAUCUCUCCCUAGGAGACAAGCCAUUUGCCAGAGCCACAUAAUGGAGCAUUCAGCCUUUGAAUUUCCACAUCUCUGGAGACUCUUCCAGGGCUAUGAGGGUGACUGCCCGGGAGGCAGGGAGGAAGGCUGGAAGGAGGUUUGGAGCCUUUAUCUGAUUAGAAAGAGGAUUCCGUAGGCCCAGAAAAUCAAGUGUGUCGUGAAGACCCCACCAAUGAGGGGAGAGCCUUACAGGGAUGUCCUCUCACCCCCUUUCCCCGGAGAGGCAGCCAGGUCCUGGGCAAGAGUGGUGCCGUCUCCCGUGUGCCCAUGAGAAGACGCGUGCCGAGGGGGAGCAGAGGAAACAGAGACGCAGGAACACACUGGAGACAACGCCUUAUGACAACUGAGGCAGAGGUUGGAGUGGGGUGUCUAAGAGCCAAGGCACACUACCCGGGAGCUGCAAGAGGCACGGCAAGGUCCCCUCCUCGGAGCCGUCAGAGAGCGCGAGGCCCUGCCCAUGCCUUGAUUCCAGACUUCCAGCCUCCGCAACUAGUCUCUCUCUGUUGCCCAGGCUGGAGUG